rnacentral:rRNA from 1 species
CGGGAGGCAGCAGUGGGGAAUUUUCCGCAAUGGACGAAAGUCUGACGGAGCGACGCUGCGUGAAGGAUGACGGCCUGCGGGUUGUAAACUUCUUUUCUCGAAGAAGAAGCUCUGACGGUAUUCGAGGAAUAAGCAUCGGCUAACUCCGUGCCAGCAGCCGCGGUAAUACGGAGGAUGCAAGUGUUAUUCGGAAUGAUUGGGCGUAAAGCGUCUGUAGGCUGUAUAGAAAGUCUUUUGUUAAAUGCCUCGGCUCAACCGAGAUCCAGCAAAGGAAACUUCUAUACUUGAGGGAAGUAGAGGUACAGGGAAUUCCCGGUGGAGCGGUGAAAUGCGUAGAUAUCGGGAGGAACACCAAUAUGGCGAAGGCACUGUACUGGGCUUUACCUGACGCUCAGAGACGAAAGCUAAAGGAGUGAUUAGGAUUAGAUACCCUAGUAAUUUUAGCCGUAAACGAUGGAAACUCACUGCCGAGCGAAAUACAACGAGCGGUGGUCAAGCUAACGCGUGAAGUUUCCCGCCUGGGGAUUACGCUUGCAAAAGUGAAACUCAAAGGAAUUGACGG